rnacentral:tRNA from 1 species
GGAGGGAUAGCUCAGUUGGUAGAGCACCUGACUAGAUGGCAGGAGGUCCCAGGUUCAAACCCUGGUUCCACCA